CCUACGGGAGGCUGCAGUCGAGAAUCUUUCGCAAUGCCCGAAAGGGUGACGAAGCGACGCCGCGUGCGGGAGGAAGGCCUUCGGGUUGUAAACCGCUGUCGGGAGUUAAGAAAUGCAAGGAUGUUAAUAGCGUUCUUGCUUGACUAAGGCUCCGGAGGAAGCCACGGCUAACUCUGGGCCAGCAGCCGCGGUAAUACAGAGGCGGCAAGCGUUGUUCGGAAUUAUUGGGCGUAAAGAGCACGUAGGCGGCUGUGUAAGUCGGUUGUGAAAGCCUUCCGCUCAACGGAAGAACGGCAUCCGAUACUGCAUAGCUUGAGUGUGGGAGGGGAGAGUGGAACUUCUGGUGGAGCGGUGAAAUGCGUAGAUAUCAGAAGGAACACCGGCGGCGAAGGCGACUCUCUGGUCCAUAACUGACGCUGAGUGUGCGAAAGCUAGGGGAGCAAACGGGAUUAGAUACCCCGGUAGUCCUAGCCGUAAACGAUGGGCACUAAGUAGAGGGGUUUUGAUUAUCUCUCUGCCGGAGCUAACGCAUUAAGUGCCCCGCCUGGGGAGUACGGCCGCAAGGCUAAAACUCAAAAGAAUUGACGGGG
rnacentral:rRNA from 1 species